AUGGCAGAAUGCUUCAAUAAGGUGCUCAAGGGUGUACGUGCAUUACCCGUGACGGCAAUAGUUCAAUACACAUUUGACAAGUUGAAUGAAUAGUUUUUAAAGCACUCAAUGGAGACUGAUAAGCAGAUUGCUGGUGAGAACAAGGAUAAGCACAAGUACAAUUUCCCACCAAAGGUCGAAGAAUGGUUGGAAUUUCAAUCACAAAAGGCAGACUCCGAAGAAGCUGUACUAUAUGACGACAACGAGUGGAAGUAUGAGGUGAAAGAGCCCGGAGGAACCACAAACGAUGGCCGCCAACACGGAGGCCGGGCUUUCAAGGUCUCCCUAACACGGUGUGAUUGCAGCUGCAUGAGGCCGUCUUUGCUUCAUCUCCCAUGCUUGCACUUGUUAAAUGCAUCCCGGGUUAGGAAUGUGGAUGUCAAUCACCCUCUUACCGUGAGGGAGUCCGAGUUCUCAAUCAUGACGGUAAAGAAUACAUGGACUCCACGGUUCCAGCCAUACUUGGACCAAUCACAAUGGCCGGAGUAUCAUGGAGUUCAACUAUGGCCGGACCCG
rnacentral:rRNA from 1 species